UUGAGCUCUGUGGGCUUCUUGCCUAUGGGCAAGUGAGACUAAGCCGUGACGUCGACGUUGCCCUGGCAACCUAGGGACACUCUUGGAGUUGUUGGACCGCCCAACCCGUGACUUGCGCUCUGUAAAGUCGUGACCUGUGUGUGCGGAAAAAACCUAAAAUGAGCCUGGUUUAAGAGCUACCACAGGUGCUGGACUCUUCUAGAAAACCUGUCGCGUCGGUUUGGUCUCCUUUAUAACACCGUUAACUGGUUGGAAUAUACCAAUAAAUAUGCUGUUACUGCUCAAACAAACCACUUCCUUGUGUUGCCAUCUUCAAUCAAAAUGUAGACUGCUAUAGAUAACUUGGAAAACACAGAAAACAACAACAAAAAGGUCAUCUGUGAUCAUGCCCUAGAGAGAACUACUUUUGAUAUUAAGCUGGGGAGGAUGAAGAUCUAGCACCACACACUAUCUUCUUAUCUUCCCAUUCUGCUUUCAACAUAAACCAGAGACCAUUAGGAACACAGCUGAAAGCAAGUUAAAUUUAUUAUUUUCUGCAACAAAGAAGACCCUACAUCAUAGAGAGCAAAGACAAUAUCAAACAGUCAGAAGUCCUGCUAGGCUAAUAGCUGGUCAUGUGAUCAAGUUUGGAAUCAAUAUAACAGGCCUCUGUAACUGCUGCCAGCAGUUUCUGAUUCAUCAAAGACAUCACUCUCAAGGCUGGUUGGUUGGCCAGAGUUUCUCAUCAAGGAGUACAUGCUGUUUGCUCCCCAGAUGGACAGCCUGGAUGAGCUACAAAUCCACAGAGCCUGGGACACAAGAAAUUCCAAUUCUCAACAAAUGCUGCAAGUAGGUCAAACCUUCACUGGAAAACCAGGUUGGGUUGCAGACACCAGAUGACAGGAGGGGCAGUGACAGAUUGGAGUGACCCAGAGUACCGGAACAAUGAUGGCAAACCUAACAAGUCAGUUCCAUAACAUGUUUGCCACGGAGAGGGAGGAAAAGGAAGUCAAUGUGAGGACACCCCCAGACAAGAUUCCAUGUCCUCUCCUCUGGAGCCACAGCAUUCCUGUGAACACACCCUGCUCAGCUCUGUGUGACUUGGGACAGUUACAAAGCCACUCAGAGAUUUAAUUCCUUCUUUCAUGAAAUGGAUGUAAUAUACAUAUCUUUCAAGUUUCUCUGGAGGAAUGGCAUAAAGUUACAUAAAGUCAUGGUCUUACUCCUGUAUGCUCAGUGGAUGGGGUUUAAUAAAUAUUUCUUAUAUCUGAAUCUGAAUGUCAAAGCCUCAUGCUGGGGUGGGUGAUAGAGAGAGACAGCUCUUGCUCUUUGGGGUUAGAGUAUCUCCUGGUAGAGGAGAUUACCUCUCCUCUGAGACAGAUGACUCAGCAGCCCUCUGUGAGCCCACUGCCUACCGGACACAGUGACUGAGUGCUGAGGAAAGCAAUGAAUAAAAGAACCCCCUCCCCCCAUGGAGCUUAUGGCCUAGACAGGGACAUUCAAAUAAACAAAUUACCAUCCAGAUGCUAAGGGAAACAACUAAAUCAUGCACAGGGGAGAGAGAUAACACACAGAAAAAGUAAGGCCAUGGGUUAAUCUGGCCUGCUGCCUGUUUCUGUAAAUAAAAUUCAUUGGAACACAUCUAUGUUCAUUUGUUCAUGUAUUGUCUUCAGCCACUUUUGCCCUGAAGUGGCAGAGUUGAGUAUAGCCUGUUGUGUUUUAACAUGGUACAUGUUCCUAAAAAUUACUACCCUAUGCAAGAUUGUGCAAUAACAUCCACAGACCGUAUGGGGAAAAUGGCAUUGUGGGCAACACUCAAACAGUCAGGGACAAAUAUUAAAAAUCGAUAGGAAGCUGAUAAAGAUGGCAUCACUAUGUUACACCUGUUAAAUGGUUAAGAAACAUAUACCACAAUAAACAUGGAAGUUGACCUUGAAAAAGACGUGGCAUCUUCCAGCAGGGCUUCAGCCUGUGCGCUAUUCAGCGGUAGAGGAGGGUCAUCUGAAAUCUGAUGGGAAGCGGUAGCGCCCGGCAGGCGGGAGGGGGGUGGGGGACGAUACAGCUCACAGCAGCCCUGGUGACCUGGAGCAGACGGUGGAUGUUUGAGGUACGUGUGUGUGCGUGUUUUGCGUGUUCCUGGGUGUCUUGUUUCAGCGGGAUGCAGUUUUCCAUCGUCACCUAGUGUUUCUCAUGGAGGAAACUGUACUUAAACAAGAAAUUUGUGUCAUGCUUCUAUUGUUCCCCAAUAUAUUAAUCACUCUGGGACAAAUUCAUGUUUCUGAAACAAGUGUUAUUGAUUGUUGUUGCAACAGAGACCAUAUGGCCCACAAAUCCUAAAGGACAUACCAUUUAGCCCUUUCUGGAAAAUGUUUACUGACCUCUGGCACAGAGGAAGGAGGGGUUAAUGCUGAGGUAUCAGGAAGGUUCCCGGAGGGUGUCAUGUCAUGUCUGAAGAGGAGAAGUAUGACAGGGUGACACAGGGGAACAGGAACAUUUUGCCAUUUUUAUUGUUAUUCCUUCUCCCAUCCUAUAUGUGCAUUUCUUCAUCCCUGCCUCCUUUCCCAGGAGUGCAGCUUUUCUGAGUUUUAUACAGAGGGAACUAAGUGUGGGUCAGAAAAUGCUUCUUUGAUUUAAGAACACUGAAAGUCAUUUUUUGCCCCCAAAAUACUUCUCCCAGCCCUCAUCUUGGAAAGACAUGGCCUUGGUAAUCCCUUCCUUGUGGUAAAGCAAAUAGAGUGGCUCAUCAGUGUCAUUAUUACUAAGUUACAAAGUCCUCCCAUUUACCACCCACUGUGUGGGGUCUGACUCCUUUCCUGAGGUCUGGCCCCAUCAGACCUUUGCUGCUUCAUAUCCCAGAACCACAUUUAACUACUCUCUAUUUCCCUCUGAGAGUUAUGCAUCUGAUUAGAGAUAUACACAAGUGUUUCACAGAGAUGGGCUGGUUCCCACCAGCAAGAUGGUUAUAAUGUAAUUAAAUAGUUGACUUAGGGAAAAAAGAAAGGUGGGUCAAUCAGAAAGAGGUAGGUCAUGAAGAAAAGUCAUAUCAUGAAGAAAAGAAAAAGUCAUGAAGUAAAGAAAAAGGAAAGAAGGCAUCUUGGUCCUCUGUACUUGCUAGAGGAAACUUAUGUGCAUAAUUACCCUCAUGUCAGAAAACAAUCACAUUACAUAACUCUCCUUGGUCUGUUUUCACAAUCAUUAACUUUUUGAUUAUGAUUUGCUUUCAGGGAAGAUUUAUGAUGGCCAUUCUGAUGUGAUUACAGUAAUCCAAGUACUGCUCAAAGGAAGCAAUACAUUGACCAUUUGCUAUUAUACAUCAGGCUACUGAGUGUGGUUAAUGUGAAUCUACCCUGAAUACUAGCUCCACUCUCAGGCUCCUGAAUAAAUCAGUUUUCUGGGCCUUCAAAGUGGAGGACUGGGUUGGGCUCUAGCAAACACAUAAAGAAUGUCCAUUCCCUAUAAGCCUCCCCCUUGCCUACAAUGCUCUUGCUUGUCACUUUUGCAUCUUUGGAUCAAGGCCAGUAAGUGGGACUUUUAUGACUCCCUUUUCCUCCAUUCUCAGCCAGUGUUGUUUUCUCUGGCCUUUGAAACUUCAUAGCACUUUAUUUAUACAAAUCUGUCUUAGAACCUUAUAAUAUUUUAUCUUGCAUUACAGUUAUUUGCCUCGGGCCUUCUCUUUGCUUAAACUUAACACUCUGAGAAGGCAGACUCUUAUUUUUCUUUGUGUGUCCCAAUGCACCCAGCACAGCAAAGUGCUGAAUGAACUAGAAGCAUCCUGAGAGAAUUGAUAAGCAUGCCGAUGUGUGUGUAUGUGUAGGUGUUGAGAGGUUGUAUGUGGAGCAAAGAGAUUUUGCUGAGGGAGGAUAUGCCCAGUCCUAAUGUCAUAUGGCAUGGGAGGGCAAAAAACUAGUUAAACACAGAAGAAGAGUCCAGGUCCCUGGAGUAAGGGCUACUAUUGUAGACACUGUUUGAAGCACCUUGCACACACCAUCUCCCUUUUCAUCUUAAUGAUCCUACGAUGCAGGUGAGGUUUACUCUCCCAAUUUUAUAGUUGAGGAAACCGAGGCUCAGAGAGAUUAAGGAACUUGCUCAACAUCAAGUAGGUAUUAGUGCAGCUGGCUCCAUGCUCCAUCUUCUUGACUGUCAUGCAAAAGUGUCCUGCCCUAGCUUGACCUUGGACCAGCACCACAUAAAAGGAGGGCGGCUUAACAAACACCAUUCAACAGGUCAGUGGCAGAUGAAUAAAAAGGAAAAGGACUCUGGGGUUCAGACUACCAGUGCAUUUCCCAUGGACUACUGUGGAGAUGUGUCCUGCAGGAUGAACUUUGACCCUGAGCCACACCUGUAUGCCAUCUUGCAUCAGCCCUUACUUCUAUGUAAGAGCACCUUCGUCCAGGCCCCAGGGCUCACUAGGGCUAUCUUUGGAAAUAAAACCUGCAGAGUAAUGUCCGUGAGUGGGUUAACUUAAAGAACAGUGAGCUCCAUGCCCCUGGAAAUAUCCAUGCAGAGUGACCAUGCCUGAGUCACGGGAAUGUUUGGCAGGAAGAACAUGUGGGUGGGGAGGGAGAACUCUAUGAUCUCUUUUACAAAUGAUUUGAAAGAUCUAAGAGCCUUUGAUCUCAUCCCCCCCCCCCCCCCCUUUGUUUCCCUUACAAAAAAGCUACAGAGAAAAUGGGGCUAAGUGUCAUGCCAUGGAAAGAGAAGUGGACAAUGAUCUGGAGGUGGGCUGGUCCUACUGAGCUACUGGUGGCUCCUUAGGUGACUGAGGGGAGAAGGUGGCCGCAACUUAGCCAGCCUUUUCUUAUUUGCAACUAGGGAUAAACUGUCUUUCUUAUCUGACAAGAUAUCUUUGGAGAACAUCAGAUUAUAGGUGUGAAUGUGUUUUGAAAAAAUUGUGGAAAAGGCAACAUGGCAUAUUCCGAGUCUUUUUUUUUUUUUUUAGAGAGGGCGAUUUUAAAAAGCCAUUCUUACAACAUGACUUGAAGGUCAUUUGAAAUCAAAAUGGCAUAGAGGUCCCUAACUUUCACAUUCAGUUGGAACUCCCUCCUCUUCUUUCUUUAAAUGCCUGUAGCAGGCUGAUUAAUGCCCUCUGCCAAGAGGUCCACAUCUUUACUCCUUGGAACAUGACUUAUGUGGCAAAACAGAUUUUACAGAUGCGAUUAAGUUAAUAAUCUUGGCAUGGGGCAAUUCUCCUGGAUUACCUGUAACCACCAGGCUUGUCAUAAGAGGGAGACAAGAAGGUCAAAGGCAGGAGGAGGAGAUGGGACAAAUGGAGCAGAGGUUGGAGUGAUGUACUUUGAAGAUGGAGGAAAAGGCCAUGAGCCAGGGAAUGCAGGUGGCUGGUAGAGGCUGGAAAAGACAAGGAAGCAGAUUCUCCCCAUGAAGUCUCCAGAAGGAGCACAAUCUUGCCAACACUUUGAUUUAGGCUUCUGACCUCCAGAUCUGUAAGAAAAUAAAUUUGUGUUGUUUUAAGCCACUAAAUUUGUGGCAGUUUGUUAC